CGGUUUUCCACUAGGCGAAAUUUUUCGACCGAAUCGAAAUUUCUCUUUGUUUCAGAGCUCUCGAGCAGAACUAAUUGUAAAAAGACAAAGAGAAAUUUCGUUUCGGUCGAAAAAUUCCGCCUCGUGGAAUCCG